GGACUGCAGAUCAGAGAAGUGUUAGGGGACAAGUUUAUUUAAGAUCUUGUUUGCCAUGACAGGAUAUUGGCUUUUAUUUUAAUCUGCAAAAUCAUUGGAAAGUUUUAAGCAGACAAAAAACAUUAAUUGUCUUAUGCUUUUAAGGCUUACCCUGGUUGCUCAGUGAAGAAUAAACUACAGGGAACAUGAGAGAAUACAUGGGAGAGCAGUUAAGAUGCUACUUCAGUAAUCCAUGACAAUGACAACAUAAAGUAACGCAAGGCCAAAUGCUCCACAAAUAAAUGUGUUGAAUGAAUGAACAAAUGAAUAAGUGAAGUCAGUGGAACAUCAAACUGCAUAAAAAUAUAUUUAUUCAGAAAUGAGAGGUGAUGAUUGCCAACAUAUCAUAAUCAGACUCUGUUGUGACCUUGGUUACUUAUGAGUUUGACAACGAAGAGGAAAGAGGACUAGAAAUAUUAUAGAUGCCAGAUUCACAAAAGAAGAUAUAUGAUAGAAGCUGGAAUUGUUUGAAUAAAAAGAGUCAAAUUUUACAUUGGAUUAACCAGAGGGAAGAAAGUAGAUAGAUAGGAAAGAAGAAGGCAGGCUUAGCCAAGCCAAAGAAAGAGACUAGACUCAGGAGGCAUUGGGUGAAAAAGGAACUCUGUCAAAGAAGAGUACCAUUAUAGUUUCAAGAGAGCUGAGAGGUUGUUAAGCCUCCUUGUCAUUCUUAAUCCAAAAACACCCGAUCCUAAACACUAUAAUCCUGAAUGUUGAAAUCCUGAAACAUCAAAAUCCCUAAAGUCCAAAAUCCUUAUCAUCUAAAAUCCAGAAAAUCACUAUCACAGGACAGUUGCACCAUGGUAUUGCAUCAUGUUAAAUGUAAUUAUUUCCUUGUUUACUCUUUAUUUGGAAAUUAAGCAUGGCUAAGAAGGUAUGUAUAGGUGCCAAGUCAACAAGGGGUGGACCCGUGGACUUAAUUUUAGGUGUCAACUUGGCUGGGUUAAGGAAUGUCUGGAAACUUGGUAAAGCAUUAUUUUGGGUAUGCCUCGAGGGUGUUCUCAGAAAAGAUUAAUGUGUAGGUCUGAGUGGACUAGGUGGGAAAGAUCUGUCAAUGUCUGGAAUAUAGAAAAAGUGAAAAUGAAGGUAAAAAAUGCACAGAAUCUUUCCUGCCAAACUAUUAUUGAUGUACAACUUCUGCCACUUGCCUUCACAAAAUGCCCUUUGUCAGAGAAUGAAAAGAGUUCAACAAGC